rnacentral:lncRNA from 1 species
ACGGGGCGUAGCAACAGGAAAUGCGGGUUGGGUUACCACGUGACAACCAUCAGUGUUUUGAUUGAUUUCCCAUCUCUUCCAUUGGUGAAGUUGCUCUGGCAGGAUUUCGAAGGAAAUUUGUGCUGCUCCAGGAUAGCGCUUGCUUUUGGUAUAUAGCCUAUUCCACAUAGAAUUUUUAGAGCUACCUGUAGCAAGGUUUUUAUCUCCAAAAAGCCAUUUUGCAACCAGUUAGAGGUACACAAAGUCGCCUGUUUUUGAAACACUUUAUCGUUCGUAAAACACUCAAGCUUCAUUGUAUCAAUAUGCAACUCAAGAACAAAAUGAGUCUCUCAGAGGGGGAAAAGAUGGUUUUUCUAGUUAAAGAGUGACGCAGCUACUAACGCAUGCAUUGAUUUACUGAACAAAAAAUAUUAAUAAAAAGCAUAAACAUUGGUUAGUAUUGUGUUUGAGUUUUGUUUGCAUGAAUUGUAUUCUCUUGGAGUUAUUCAAGAAUAAAGCAAGAAAAUCC